GAAGCUCCACAGGAGGCUACAGAGGAGGAGACCCCGAAGCCCUAGGGUAUUGACCUGAGUCUCACAAUACCCUAGAGAAAAGUUUACCUACGCAUCUUCUCCUGAACUAUUUAUGUUUAAAUCUUAGAGCUUGUCUAACACUGCAUCACUAAGUUUGUUUCAACUUAUGUCCUGUAAUAACUCGUACCUUUUAUAUAUGUAUGUAAAAAUGUAAUGUUUGUUGAUAUUAUCCCAUUGCGGAUAUUAUCCUGAUGUAUGGUUAUGAGACACGCCGUGGAUCCUUCGAGGAGUCCUAGGGACACUCGAAGGACUACCGGAC
rnacentral:lncRNA from 1 species